CAGUAGCCGCGGUAAUACGAAGGGUGCAAGCGUUAAUCGGAAUUACUGGGCGUAAAGCGUGCGUAGGCGGUUUGUUAAGUCUGCUGUGAAAUCCCCGGGCUCAACCUGGGAAUGGCAGUGGAUACUGGCUCGCUAGAGUGUGUCAGAGGAUGGUGGAAUUCCCGGUGUAGCGGUGAAAUGCGUAGAGAUCGGGAGGAACAUCAGUGGCGAAGGCGGCCAUCUGGGACAACACUGACGCUGAGGCACGAAAGCGUGGGGAGCAAACAGGAUUAGAUACCCCAGUAGUCCCUGUCUCUUAUAC
rnacentral:rRNA from 1 species